UACGUAGGGGGCAAGCGUUGUCCGGAUUUAUUGGGCGUAAAGAGCGUGUAGGCGGCCAUGUAGGUCCGUUGUGAAAACUCGAGGCUCAACCUCGAGACGCCGAUGGAAACCAUGUGGCUAGAGUCCGGAAGAGGAGAGUGGAAUUCCUGGUGUAGCGGUGAAAUGCGCAGAUAUCAGGAAGAACACCUAUGGCGAAGGCAGCUCUCUGGGACGGUACUGACGCUGAGACGCGAAAGCGUGGGGAGCGAACAGG
rnacentral:rRNA from 1 species